rnacentral:rRNA from 1 species
GUGAAUGGGGGCACCCUGACCGCAAUGCCGCGUGAGUGAAGAAGGCCUUCGGGUUGUAAAGCUCUUUUGUCAGGGAAGAAACACCGGCUCUAACACAGUCCGGGAAUGACGGUACCUGAAGAAUAAGCACCGGCUAACUACGUGCCAGCAGCCGCGGUAAUACGUAGGGUGCAAGCGUUAAUCGGAAUUACUGGGCGUAAAGCGUGCGCAGGCGGUUAUACAAGACAGGCGUGAAAUCCCCGGGCUUAACCUGGGAAUGGCGCCUGUGACUGUAUAGCUAGAGUGUGUCAGAGGGGGGUAGAAUUCCACGUGUAGCAGUGAAAUGCGUAGAUAUGUGGAGGAAUACCAAUGGCGAAGGCAGCCCCCUGGGAUAACACUGACGCUCAUGCACGAAA